ACGGAAAGAUUGAAGAAGACAAAGUACAUUUAAAGGAAACCAAGCCCUCAGCUCUCACAUGGGCCUGACAUGGAGGAGAUAGAUCAAUGAAGUGGGAGAAAAGCAGCAAUGGUGAGGUGGGAGACGACACCAGCACUUGAUAUUCUAUCUCCAGAAAAGUGGAUAUUCAAGAUUUGUACCUUAGGCACCAUCUGCUCAUCCUGAUUUCUUUUAAUCACCAAUGCCAAUGUAGAAAGAGAGAUGUAACUCUACACCUCUUUGCUUGAGCUUAGGGUCAUUUUCACAACUCCAGAGUUCUGAGAAAACUCUACCUAAUGGGGAAAAAGUGUUUAUGUUUUUACUCAGUUGUUUCGUUACAUAAGUUGAUUAUGUUUGAAAAUAAAGUGUAUUGUUUGCUAGUUAAGAGUGAUAAUUCUUAUUCACUUGCAUUUCAGGAGCCUCCGAAUGAGGAAAUCAUAACUCAGGCAUUAAAAACUACUUUCUAUAUUUGAAUUACUUUUUAUCAUUUGUCUGAGACUUGACCAUAAAGAUGCUAUAUACAUCUAAUAAAGCACAGAAUUGCGCCCUCACACAAAGUGGGUUAUUUCAGUGAUUUGAGGCAGAGAAAUCUGUUUCUGAACCCAAGUCACAGGUGGUGGGACUCCUUCAUUGUUUGUACCUUGUAAGUAGAAAGCAAAGGGAAAAGUCAACCAAGCAAUCUCAGUUGCCAAGGAGACACAGUAUUUUCUAUUGAAUGAAGAAAAAAUAUGUGAACUCCCUACUUUUGUUGACUCACUACAAGUCGAUACCAAUGAUC
rnacentral:lncRNA from 1 species